rnacentral:rRNA from 1 species
UACGUAGGGUGCAGGCGUUAAUCGGAAUUACUGGGCGUAAAGCGUGCGCAGGCGGCUUCCUAAGUCAGAUGUGAAAUCCCCGGGCUUAACCUGGGAACUGCGUUUGAAACUGGGAGGCUAGAGUGCGGCAGAGGGGGGUGGAAUUCCACGUGUAGCAGUGAAAUGCGUAGAUAUGUGGAGGAACACCGAUGGCGAAGGCAGCCCCCUGGGCCAGCACUGACGCUCAUGCACGAAAGCGUGGGGAGCAAACAGG